GCAGGCUCAAUCCCCAGUGGGGGGCAUGCAGGAGGCCGCCAAUCAACGACUCUCUUUGAUCAUUGAUGUUUCUCUUUCUCUCUCUCCCUCUCCCUUCCUUUCUGAAAUCAAC